rnacentral:rRNA from 1 species
UAAAAUAAUUAAGGGCACACAAAGGAUGCCUAGGUAGUAAGAGCCGAUGAAGGACGUGGUAAGCUGCGAUAAGCCUAGAUAAGUUGCAAUCGAACGUAAGAGUCUAGGAUUUCCGAAUGGAGCAAUCUAUUAAGAUGGAGUCUUAAUACGAAAGAGGGAACCGCGUGAACUGAAACAUCUAAGUAACGCGAGGAAAAGAAAGUAAAAACGAUACCCAAAGUAGCGGCGAGCGAAAUGGGUCAAGCCUAAACCUUAAAUAUGUCAAGGAUACAGCCGUUGUAUUUAAGGGGUUGAGGGACAGAGUGAUGAAGAACUGUAAGAUAUUCAAUAUAGUGUAUUGAUGAAUUAGAAUUGUCUGGAAAGGUGAACCGCAGAAGGUGAAAGUCCUGUAUAAGUAAAUCCUUACACAUAUAACUUUGCUCCCAAGUAACAUGGAACACGAGGAAUUCUGUGUGAAUCUGUGAGGACCAUAUCUCAUAAGGCUAAAUACUCUUACUAACCGAUAGCGCAUAGUACCGUGAGGGAAAGGUGAAAAGAACCCCUGGAGGGGAGUGAAAUAGAACCUGAAAUUGUGUGCUUACAAGCGGUCAGAGCCCAUUUGGGUGAUGGCGUGCCUUUUGGAGAAUGAUCCUGCGAGUUACGUUAAACGGCGAGGUUAAGUAUAACGGAGCCGAAGGGAAACCAAGUCUUAAUAGGGCGAUUUAGUCGUUUGGCGUAGACGCGAAACCUGGUGAUCUAAACCUGUCCAGGAUGAAGCUGUGGUAAGACACAGUGGAGGUCCUAACCCACCGCCGUUGAAAAGUUGGGGGAUGAGGUAGGUUUAGGGGUGAAAAGCCAAUCGAACCAGGAGAUAGCUCGUUCUCUCCGAAAUGCAUCUAGGUGCAGCCUUGAGUGUUCAAUUAUGGGGGUAGAGCACUGAAUGAUCUAGGGGGCAUAUUGCUUACUGAAAUCAAUCAAACUCCGAAUACCAUAAUUUAUAGCUCAGGAGUGAGACUAUGGGAGUUAACUUCCAUUGUCAAAAGGGAAACAACCCAGACCACCAGCUAAGGUCCCUAAUUAUAACUAAGUGGGAAAGGAGGUGGAGAUUCACAAACAACUAGGAGGUUGGCUUAGAAGCAGCCAUACCUUUAAAGAGUGCGUAAUAGCUCACUAGUCGAGAGUCUCUGCGCCGACAAUGUAACGGGGCUAAGUUAUAAACCGAAGCUGUGGAAUCCUUUUGGAUUGGUAGGAGAGCGUUCUGUAGGCCGUUGAAGAAGAAGGGUAACCGACUUUGGAGGUAUCAGAAGUGAGAAUGCAGGAAUAAGUAGCGAGAAAGGGGGCGAGAAUCCCCCUCGCCGGAAGACCAAGGUUUUCAGGGUAAAGCUUGUCUUCCCUGAGUAAGCCGGGACCUAAGCCCAGGCUAUAAUGCGUAGGCGAAUGGAAAACAGAUUAAUAUUUCUGUGCCAGUCAUUUAUUGUGAUGGAGGGACGCAGAAGGGUAUGCGCGCGGACGAUCGGUUGUGUCCGUAGAAGUAUGUAGGGUGACUUAGUAGGUAAAUCCAUUAAGUUAUAUCUGAGGUAUGAUAUACAGUCGUAAGAUGAAUGCGCAAAUCCCACGCUGCCAAGAAAAGCUUCUAACGUUAAUAUAUGACUGCCCGUACUGUAAACCGACACAGGUGGUCAGGAUGAGAAAUCUAAGGCGGACAGGCUAACUCUCGUUAAGGAACUCUGCAAAAUAACCUCGUAACUUCGGGAGAAGAGGAGCCCUUGGGUGUUAGUAUCCAUGCGAUACAAAGCGCUCGAGGGUCGCAGUGAAGAGGCUCAAGCAACUGUUUAACAAAAACACAGGUCUAUGCUAAGCUGGAAGGCGAUGUAUAUGGGCUGACACCUGCCCAGUGCUGGAAGGUUAAGAGGAGGAGUGAGAGCUCCGAAUUGAAGCCCCAGUGAACGGCGGCCGUAACUAUAACGGUCCUAAGGUAGCGAAAUUCCUUGUCGGGUAAG